rfam:Myotis brandtii contig184724, whole genome shotgun sequence.
GGUGGUUCUCUGGUGAUGCACCCCAGAAUCGGGCUCCCUCCUCUCUGGUUCCCGGUGUGUCACUCAAGAACCGCA